GCAGGCUGCAACUCGCCUGCAUGAAGUUGGAAUUGCUAGUAAUCGCGAAUCAGAAUGUCGCGGUGAAUACGUUCCCGGGCCUUGUACACACCGCCCGUCACACCAUGAGAGUCGAUAACACCCGAAGCCUGUGAGCUAACCGCAAGGAGGCAGCAGUCGAAGGUGGGGUUNAUGAUUGGGGUNAAGUCGUAACAAGGUAAC
rnacentral:rRNA from 1 species